rnacentral:rRNA from 1 species
GCAAGUCGAGCGGUAACACAAGGGAGCUUGCUACUUUGCUGACGAGCGGCGGACGGGUGAGUAAUGCUUGGGAACAUGCCUUGAGGUGGGGGACAACAGUUGGAAACGACUGCUAAUACCGCAUAACGUCUACGGACCAAAGGGGGGGAUCUUCGGACCUCUCGCCAUUUGAUUAGCCCAAGUGGGAUUAGCUAGUUGGUGAGGUAAUGGCUCACCAAGGCGACGAUCCCUAGCUGGUUUGAGAGGAUGAUC